UUUCAUACGGGAGGCAGCAGUGAGGAAUAUUGGUCAAUGGCCGAGAGGCUGAAUCAGCCAAGUCGCGUGAGGGAUGACGGCCCUACGGGUUGUAAACCCCUUUUGUCGGGGAGCAAAGAGAGUCACGUGUGACUCAUUGAGAGUACCCGAAGAAAAAGCAUCGGCUAACUCCGUGCCAGCAGCCGCGGUAAUACGGAGGAUGCGAGCGUUAUCCGGAUUUAUGGGGUUUAAAGGGUGCGCAGGCGGUCUGUUAAGUCAGCGGUCAAAGCCCGGGGCUCAACCCCGGCCCGCCGUUGCAACUGGCA
rnacentral:rRNA from 1 species